rnacentral:rRNA from 1 species
GAGUACGGCGGAACACGUGAAAUUCCGUCGGAAUCCGGGAGGACCAUCUCCCAAGGCUAAAUACUCCCUAGUGACCGAUAGUGAACCAGUACCGUGAGGGAAAGGUGAAAAGCACCCCGGAAGGGGAGUGAAACAGUUCCUGAAACCGUGUGCCUACAAGUAGUUAGAGCCCGUUAAUGGGUGAUAGCGUGCCUUUUGUAGAAUGAACCGGCGAGUUACGAUUUGUUGCAAGGUUAAGCGGAAAAAGCGGAGCCGUAGCGAAAGCGAGUCUGAAUAGGGCGCAUAAGUAACAGGUCGUAGACCCGAAACCAGGUGAUCUACCCAUGUCCAGGAUGAAGGUAAGGUAAUACUUACUGGAGGUCCGAACCCACGCACGUUGAAAAGUGCGGGGAUGAGGUGUGGGUAGCGGAGAAAUUCCAAUCGAACUUGGAGAUAGCUGGUUCUCUCCGAAAUAGCUUUAGGGCUAGCCUCGAGGUAAAGAGUCAUGGAGGUAGAGCACUGUUUGGACUAGGGGCCCUUCUCGGGUUACCGAAUUCAGAUAAACUCCGAAUGCCAUGUACUUAUACUCGGGAGUCAGACUGCGAGUGAUAAGAUCCGUAGUCGAAAGGGAAACAGCCCAGACCACCAGUUAAGGUCCCCAAAUAUAUGUUAAGUGGAAAAGGAUGUGGGGUUGCUUAGACAACCAGGAUGUUGGCUUAGAAGCAGCCACCAUUGAAAGAGUGCGUAAUAGCUCACUGGUCGAGUGACCCCGCGCCGAAAAUGUACCGGGGCUAAACAUAUUACCGAAACUGUGGAUGAACCUCUUUAGAGGUUCGUGGUAGGAGAGCGUUCUAAGGGCGGUGAAGUCAGACCGGAAGGACUGGUGGAGCGCUUAGAAGUGAGAAUGCCGGUAUGAGUAGCGAAAGAAGGGUGAGAAUCCCUUCCACCGAAUAUCUAAGGUUUCCUGAGGAAGGCUCGUCCGCUCAGGGUUAGUCGGGACCUAAGCCGAGGCCGAUAGGCGUAGGCGAUGGACAACAGGUAGAGAUUCCUGUACCAGUGCUAAUUGUUUAACCGAUGGGGUGACACAGAAGGAUAGGGAAUCGCACGAAUGGAAAUGUGCGUCCAAGCAGUGAGUGUGAGAAGUAGGCAAAUCCGCUUCUCGCGAAGCAUGAGCUGUGAUGGGGAAGGAAAUUAAGUACGGAAGUUCCUGAUUUCACGCUGUCAAGAAAAGCCUCUAGGAAGAGUAGUACUGCCCGUACCGCAAACCGACACAGGUAGAUGAGGAGAGAAUCCUAAGGUGAGCGAGAGAACUCUCGUUAAGGAACUCGGCAAAAUGACCCCGUAACUUCGGGAGAAGGGGUGCUCUAUUAGGGUGCAAGCCCGAGAGAGCCGCAGUGAAUAGGCCCAGGCGACUGUUUAGCAAAAACACAGGUCUCUGCAAAACCGUAAGGUGACGUAUAGGGGCUGACGCCUGCCCGGUGCUGGAAGGUUAAGAGGAGUGCUUAGCUUCGGCGAAGGUACGAAUUGAAGCCCCAGUAAACGGCGGCCGUAACUAUAACGGUCCUAAGGUAGCGAAAUUCCUUGUCGGGUAAGUUCCGACCCGCACGAAAGGCGCAACGAUCUGGGCACUGUCUCAACGAGAGACUCGGUGAAAUUAUAGUACCUGUGAAGAUGCAGGUUACCCGCGACAGGACGGAAAGACCCCGUGGAGCUUUACUGCAACCUGAUAUGGAAUGUUUGUACCGCUUGUACAGGAUAGGUAGGAGCCGAAGAGACGUGUGCGCUAGCAUACGAGGAGGCAAUGGUGGGAUACUACCCUGGCUGUAUGACCAUUCUAACCCGCCACGCUUAGCGCGUGGGGAGACAGUGUCAGGUGGGCAGUUUGACUGGGGCGGUCGCCUCCUAAAGAGUAACGGAGGCGCCCAAAGGUUCCCUCAGAAUGGAUGGAAAUCAUUCGCAGAGUGUAAAGGCACAAGGGAGCUUGACUGCGAGACUGACAAGUCGAGCAGGGACGAAAGUCGGGCUUAGUGAUCCGGUGGUUCCGCAUGGAAGGGCCAUCGCUCAACGGAUAAAAGCUACCCCGGGGAUAACAGGCUUAUCUCCCCCAAGAGUCCACAUCGACGGGGAGGUUUGGCACCUCGAUGUCGGCUCGUCGCAUCCUGGGGCUGUAGUCGGUCCCAAGGGUUGGGCUGUUCGCCCAUUAAAGCGGCACGCGAGCUGGGUUCAGAACGUCGUGAGACAGUUCGGUCCCUAUCCGUCGCGGGCGCAGGAAAUUUGAGAGGAGCUGUCCUUAGUACGAGAGGACCGGGAUGGACACACCGCUGGUGUACCAGUUGUUCCGCCAGGAGCAUC